AAUGAAUUGACGGGGGCCCGCACAAGCGGUGGAGCAUGUGGUUUAAUUCGAUGCAACGCGAAGAACCUUACCUACUCUUGACAUCCAGAGAACUUUCCAGAGAUGGAUUGGUGCCUUCGGGAACUCUGAGACAGGUGCUGCAUGGCUGUCGUCAGCUCGUGUUGUGAAAUGUUGGGUUAAGUCCCGCAACGAGCGCAACCCUUAUCCUUUGUUGCCAGCGGUUCGGCCGGGAACUCAAAGGAGACUGCCAGUGAUAAACUGGAGGAAGGUGGGGAUGACGUCAAGUCAUCAUGGCCCUUACGAGUAGGGCUACACACGU
rnacentral:rRNA from 1 species